UACGUAGGGCGCAAGCGUUGUCCGGAAUUAUUGGGCGUAAAGAGCUCGUAGGCGGCUUGUCACGUCGAUUGUGAAAGCCCGAGGCUUAACCUCGGGUCUGCAGUCGAUACGGGCUAGCUAGAGUGUGGUAGGGGGAGAUCGAAUUCCUGGUGUAGCGGUGAAAUGCGCAGAUAUCAGGAGGAACACCGGUGGCGAAGGCGGAUCUCUGGGCCAUUACUGACGCUGAGGAGCGAAAGCGUGGGGAGCGAACAGG
rnacentral:rRNA from 1 species